GGAGUCGCCAUCUUGGACUCGGCUCGACCCAGUCUGGUGACCGGCGACGCUGGGCCGGGCUCGGCGCAGGGGGUCGGGAAGCGCAAAGAAGUUAAAUACUUGACCAAGUUCACACCAAGAUCUGAACCCAGGUAGUCUUACUUCAGAGCCUACGUUCUUAUCCGUGCCCAUUGCCAGCCUCGUGCUCAUUCAUUUGUACCGGGAAGCUCACGCUUUAUCCCUAGAACUCCUCCAAUGGCAGUUUUGUACAGAUUGGAGGAAGUGGUGAACUCAGACAGCAGAGUCAGGCACAAGAAGGAGGAUAUUAUUUGGUGCCCAUUCAGUUGCUGUGCCUGUUAUGGCUUAG
rnacentral:lncRNA from 1 species